GCAGCAAAAGCGCCAAGCCAGGCCACCACGCACCACACCAAGCGCUGCUGGACGGUUUGUGUGCGGCGCCGGACGCCUGGGUACCACCGUUCCGUAGCGUACCGCCGUGUAGUCCGUGUUGCACGCGCGCGCGAGACAGUCAGCAGUAGCAUUCGCCGUCAUCGGCGUCAACGGUGAUUAUACGCGCCGAUUGCGAGCAGUCAGUCAGGUGCACGGUGCGGCAGCAGCGACGGUGACGAGGUCACCGUGCGUUUCCGAAAGACUCACUCACAAGAAGAAAAGAAAGCCGCGAGAGUGAGACUGUGAGUGUGCGGCCAUUUGUGUGUGUGUGUGUACAUGUGUGUAUGUGAACAGCGAGCCUACAAUCAACCGUGACUGACACACUGCGCUUGGGAAGACACGCUUCUAUCAACCGCAGCGCACAGAGACUAGCUGCAGCAAGCAACAGCUACGCAGCAGCAGCAAGCAGCAGCAGCAGCAGCAGGAGGAGUAGCAGUAGCAGCAUCACCAUCAUCGCCAUCAUCGCCAUCAUCGCCGGCACCCCUUGCGUCUGUGCAAGGACGAAGGCGCAUCAGCAGCAACAGGAGCAGCACCGCCAGUGACCGUACCGACCAACAGCACCAUUCGGGCAGGCAACCAGCGGUGGUGGCCACUGGUGCCCGGUGCAGCAGACAGGAUAAGCGCCGAUAAGCAGCAGACAGCGGUGCGCAGACGCAGACGACGUAAAAAGGAAGCGACGUCAGCGGCGGCGUCGGCGGGAACGGCGGCGGCGGCUGCGGCAGCGACACCAGCUGCUACCUUCAUCGGCGGCUGUGGCGGCCGAUUCAAGGUUACCAGAGGACGAG